GGCCGCAGUAAACUGACUGCGCUAAGGUAGCAAAAUCAUUAGUCUUUUUAUUGAAGGCUUGUAUAAAAGAUUUGACAAAGAAAGUCCUGUCUUAAUAAAAUUAAUAUAAUUUUAUUUUAAAGUAAAAAAGCUUUAAAAUUUUAAUAGGACGAUAAGACCCUAAAAUCUAUUAAUUAAUAUUAAAUAAAUUUAAGAUAAAUAAUAUACACAUAUAUUUAUCUCUAAUUAUAAGUGUAUAUAUUAUAAUAAUAAAAGUUAAUUAACUGGGGCGGUAAAUAUAAUAUAAACUAUAAAACUUUAAACAUUUUGCAUGAUUUUAUUUAACCUCUAUGAAUAAAAUAAGAUACUUUAGGGAUAACAGCAUAAUAUAUUUUAAGAGUUCUUAUCACCAAAUAUGUUUAUGACCUCGAUGUUGAAUUGAGAUUUCUAUCUUUAGAAGAUUAAAGUAUAGUCAGUCUGUUCGACUCUUAAUAUCUCACAUGAUUUGAGUUCAAACCGGC
rnacentral:rRNA from 1 species